AAGACAUGAGUAGUAGACAUUGUAACUCACAGGUUUUUUUGCUUUUGUUCAUGAGUAUCUCACUUUUUUCUUCAUGACAUCAGAUAGUAUUAACAUUUUAGCAAUUUUUAAUAUGUGUUUUUUACUGUUUUCUCUACCAUUGUUUUCUGUCAAGUCCUUACUCUCUAACCAGAUACUGUUACAUACAAACACAUAUAACAGGAAAACAGUAAAGGACAAAGGGGAUGAGUGAGAUGCAAACAGCAUGGAACACAGAAAAAUGGACAAGACAAAAUGUGCUGAGCCUUCUGUUACACAGCUGUGAGCAUGGUAUUGCCAUUGUGAGCACAAUACAAAUACAAAACAAUGCUGAAACAGGUCACAGAAAUGCACUGAAAUUUCAUGAAUUCUAACUGCACAAAAGACUUGAACAAACAAGACGAUUAUCUGUAAUAAUUUCUUAACACCCAUUCCAGUCCUCUCAUUAUUUUUUUUUUUGAUCAUCCAAACUACAGGAAAGAUGAAAACUUCGUUGCUUUCUCCCUCCUUAUUUUUUUGUUCUAGGUUUGGACCUUCUCCUUUCCUCAGGAUUUCAGGAAAAGAAUAUUGCAUUUUCACUCCUUCCUGGGCUUCUUUAGACAUUCACACUUCCAGCAAUACUGAAAAAUUUUCAGGCAACAUGCUGAAUACGGCAGAGGCAAUGAAUUGUUCCUGAUCAUCAUUUAUAAAGAAAGCUCUAGUAUAACCACAAUGAGUGGUAACAUAAGCAAACAACAGCAACCUGACAAAAUGAAAAAAAGCUUCAGAAAUUCUUUCUCAGAACAAUGCUCUUGCAUACUUCUUGAAGUGCAAUUCAGUUGCCGAGGCAGCUCUGCAAUAUAUCAGAGAAUUAGGCAACAAAUUUGUAACAGUUCUGUCAUGCAAAUAUCUAUAAACUUCUGAGCACUUGAAACAGUAACAUCCAUUGCAUAUUUGCAUCACUCUCCUUUUUAAGCACCAAUGGCAGAAAAUUGUUGUAGACGGCACCUUGGCAAAACCACAGCAACAUGCUAAGAACAAAAGACUUGUUAAAAUAGACACAAUUUUCUUGCUGUAGGACUUACCCCACUGUGAUGUCAAAUAUGUUGCUUCCAACAGAACUGGAUACAGCCAUGUCCCCCAGACCUUUGCGUGCUACAAUAACACUGGUAAUAAGGUCAGGAAUGGAUGUGCCAGCAGCUAGAAUAGUCAAUCCCAUGAUUUCUUCGCUAAUACCAAUGGUCUCUCCAACCUAAAAGCAAAAAAAGAAAAAAAAUGUCCUGCAGUGAAGAAAUGCUUUCUGCUGUAAACUUGUUUAACCAGGAAUAUUAACCUGGAGCUUGCCGACUAGCUUGGAGAAUACAGGCAAGAUUGGAGAAUUACUCAUUUUCACAGAUUUCCACAAGUUUCAGGAGAAAGGUAAGAUUGUCAAAUAGAACCAGUAGGUAUUGACAAGCAUUUGCUGAUGGCUCUAAUGUUACCAGAAUGAUGAAGUCCUGUGGUCCGGACAACCACAGCCCUCUGAACUACUUUCCAUUUACUGAGUAGUGAUUUACUUUAUCCAUGGUCACAGCUCCUAAAAUAACGCACUCCUCAGCAUGAUAUAGAUGACGGACUCUGAUACUAAAUGAUCUCUCACAGUGCAAAACACAAUGCAGGGCUUGUAUUUUGUACCAGUAUCACCUCCUUACCUGAUGUGCCCACCAGACCAUUAAGUAAGAAAAAAAUGCAAUCCAGCUGAUAGAGCCAAAAAAUGUGAUAGGAAAAAAUUUUCUUGAGCUCUGAAACAGAAACAGAGAGAAACAGUGAAUACCUAUGUUGAAGGCUGACAUGCUGUACUCUUAUUUGCUUCUCAAAAUGUCAGCGGCCUCUCCUUUUUUCUGAUCACCUGUUCUGACCAACUAGUCUCAUCAUCAUUAGGUGAUCAAAAAAAAUGUCAAGAAUGGUAAGAAACUGACUCACUACACUGAUAUAUACUUCCCUGUGCCUCAUUCUUCCGACUGCUUCAGUUGUAAAAUAACACCUCCUAACAAAUUGUAUGAUGAAUGGCAAGUUUGGGGUUGUCAUUUGUGUCAUAUUCUGUUAUGCCACAGUUUGGAUAUGUGUUUAGCUGAAUGGUGGUUUGACUUCUAAAUUUAUUAAUAACUUCAUGCUUAUUCAGAAAGAAUGUUUUCAAAUUGCUAAAACAGGUUCCCAUACCUUUCAUUCAUACAUCGAUAACUUUGCACAACACCUUUCACAGUCAGUAUAACAAGGGCUGCCAUGUGACAGAGCUAAAAAAAUACACAUUUAAAAUUUAUUAGGGCAUUUACUUUUCAUCGGAAAACAACCACUUUCUCAAUUAGAACAGAAGAUACGCUAAGCACAUAUUUGCCAUGCUUUGUUUUGUAGAGAAGUUUGUUAUAAAAACAUGUAAAACACACUUCAAGGCCCUUCAAUGAAUUAAAAAAUCCAUAUAACACCAAAGUAACUUCAUUUUCAUUUUUAGCGUCUCCCUUACUAAUGUCAAACUUGGAAUAGAAAGCAUUCUUCUAGCCAAUGAAUGGGUUAUUUACAGAUUAAUUAUUUAUUUUGGUUUCUGUUCUUUCCAGUCUUUUGUAUCUUCCAUAUUUCCUAUUGGCUAGCUAGAUCUAUGUAACAAAAAGAGAUCAAGUUUACUAAAGGACGGAAACAUGACUGCAGUACUGUACCAGGCAAUCACUGUCUAAUCAAAUUAGUGUUUGAAAUGAAAUUUGUACUGUGAAUGAAUGCUACCAGUCUUGAAUGAAACCACAAUCUUUAUGGGCAUCGACCUUCUGAACACAGAUCCUCACCCCAGAUUACUUCUGACAUGCCACUAGCAGAGUCCUACAAUUUUUCAUGAAUAACCAGUAGGACUGCUUGUGGAAGUUAUACCACUUUGAAUACUUGCUCCAGGACUACCUUUUCGUGUUAAAUCCUCCCUAAAUCCACUUCCACUUUUUGCUCUGCAGGGUCUUCCAAAAUUUUUGGGCAGUGCACCUUGCCUGUACCCCUCUCCACUGCAGGACAUGACCCUGGUGCACAAGGAGACUCAUUAGCCUGUGGGUCAUUCCUAGGUGUUGUGGGAGCAGACAGGACUGCAGGGCUUUCCCUGAACAUGACUUUUGGAGAGAAAAUACUAUUUGGAUUUUGCCAAUUCAGCUUGCUCAAGCCAUAACAAAGACCUCUUUUAGGGAGUUUAUGGAGCUGCACAGCCAGCUUUUCUUGUAUAACAGACACAAGAGGCAUUUAUAUGGGAUAGCCUCACGUUUAGGAACUGAUCAGCAUGGGUGGCUGUGGACUAAGAGGUGCUUAGUGAAUUGGGCUAGCCAUUAGAGCUGGUUAUGUGGGGAUGACACUGUCUUUUGUCAGCUGAACCAGAAAAGAGCAAGGCUGGUCCACAGCUCAUUGAAGUUGUGUAGACUCUUUCUGCUGAUGUAAGUGGAAUGAGAUCAGGUCAUUACUGAUAGAGAAAAGGUAAAGUCAGCAAUGACAAUUGUGCAUACUCAUCUACAAGAUGCGACAAUUUAAAAGGUCCAUAUCUGCUCUAGCAGCAGGUGCAACUGUAGGCUGUGCUACAGAACACUUACUCACUCCCUGUGGGCACUCUGCAUAAUGCUAAAGGCCCUCCUGAAAACUGAGCUCAUAAACAUUGACUAAUGCAACCUGUACAAUUCCACAAUUGAAUAUACAUAGGAACACAUAUUAAAGAUGGUACAGAUUUAACAACAAUCCCAAACCCCCUCAUACAUAAAUAACUGAACUUCUGUUGGAGUUAGAAAAUCAUUCCAGUAGGUGUUUUAAAGGCAUUAUCUUUAAAUACAGGCGUAAAUAGCCACAAUGGCACCUGGAAACAUCCUUUUUCAUAGAAAUUCCAUUACUGUCACAAGCACUGUUUCUAGAACUGUCCAGGGUACUUUGGUUGAUCUGCUUCUUAACUGCUUAAUUCUUUACAAAGCAGUUAGUUUUUCUAAAUUUUUGUCAAAUCAGAAAAUCUGAUGAGCUUCCAAUAUUUAAACCUACUCAGAUGAAGUUUAGAUUUUAAAACCAAAACUUUACAUGCAUUGGGGGAUGGAAGACCUUAGUCUGAAUAGGAACAUGAUUUGAAAGGAACACAAAGAUGGCUGUUAAAAUAGUGAUCUGACACCAGUGGGAACAGAACGGAGUCUGGGAGGGAUAAAUGAAUCUAAACAGCAAUUUCCUUUUUUUAAACUUAAUAGCUAGCACUUCUUUUUCACCAUUCUUAGUAGCCAACUCUCUUAACUGUCAAGAUUUUUUGUCUUCCUGUAAAUACUGGGAUUUUCUGGCAACACAUAUGGUGAAUGAGAUGAUGAAGUCAUAAGCUAGUUGCAGCUGGUCACAAAUUCUACACAGAGCACCUCAUAGCAAUGCAAUUUGAAUAAUCACUAUACAACACUCCAGAUAUAAGCAUACAUUGGCUUAUACAAAACUAAUACAGCAAGAGCUGUACUGGCCAGUAAUAGCUCUCUGUCAGUGUGAUUAUAUAUACCAAAUGGUUCUUGCAAAACAAGGAGACAUUGCCUAUCUGAGUCAGACACCCACAGAAUUUGGAUGGCUAAGAAUUACGAGUCAGUAACUUUGCAGCAUGUGUAUUCCUAGCCUGUCUUAGCCAAUCCUCUCCCAGUAAAAUUAACUGAUAAGCAGCAGUUCAAGACUAAGAGUACUUUAAUAGGCGGAACAGUUUAAUGACCUAUCUUAAAAGGGGGAACAUUUAAACUCCAAAAGGGCAAAAUUUUAAGCUUGUACAUAUUACAGGUGAUGAAAUCAAGAAUGGACUCCAUAGAUGCUGCUAUGUAAUUUGCAUAUAGAUGAAAUUUUUUAAAAAGCAGUAAUGAGAGUGCUGAUUCUUUUUCAGAUGCUGGAUUUUAUUUCCAGAGUAUAAUAAUAGUCAUGCUUAUUUUGUAACUAAUAACAGCAUUUUUUAGAGAUUGAUCUCAUUGCAGCUCCCUCGCUAUUGGAAAUCUAGAGAGCUGCCAAUUCCAAGCAUUUUCCUAGAAGAAUUAGUCAGAGAUGGCAGACAGCAAUACUUCUGUCCACCUGUUCUUGUAGCUGUUGUGAUGGUUGCCUUGUAAAGACAGAGAACCCCAUUUAUUACCAAUUGGUUCUGUUGUGGUCAUGGUAACAGACAAAUGAGAAAAGUCAUGGCUCAUUCAGUUCAUAUACAAUUUUCUUUUAACAAAAGAGAAAGAAUUUUGUAGUUUCACUGUAGGUUGGUUGUAUUGGUACUGUUCCUGUCUAUUAGCAAUCUUAAGGACAUUUUUUUUGGUACAUUUCUGCAUUGAUUUCAUGCCAGCGUCUGAAAAACAGGAGUUUGAGUAGCAAGAAUAAUCCAAGUACGAAGAUUUUUCUUCUAAGAGCCUGAUCCUGAAAGAUAGUGAGUGCUUAGUAAUUUGCAAAGUAACUGUCCUAAUUUUAGCCAGUAUUAUUAUCAACAUCUUUACUUUACCUUUAACCUGAAUGAAUCAUAUGUUUGUCUCAUCCAUAAAUUUAUCUGCAUUGCAAGCUUUGAUUUUCCUUUCAUACUUGACAGUGCUUAAAUCUGAUUACUCAGAACCUCCUCCUGUAACUGGAUCUGUGCAGGAACAUCUUGUCCUUGUCCCCUUGGUAACAGUGCAUCUCUGUAUGGCAACAAGAGUUCAUGUAAGUUGUACCUCUUCAUUGGUAAUGGGAAUUUGCAGAGAUACAACGAACUGCCCCAUAUGGGUCCAGUGACAGCAGGACUGGAGCCCCAGUAGCCAUUUGUCUGGCCUGUGAGACAAAGGGAUGGACAGUGCAGUAUGGCUAUAACAAGAGAGAUGUUGUUCAAUGUCUGCCACUGACCCACUGGGCCACCUUGGUCAUGUCAUUUUCCUUGCAAUCUGUCAAUAUCCCUUACUGCAGGAGGUGGACAGUUAGGUUUGUGGCCUUUACAGAACCACUGGGGAAAUACGCUAUUAGUACAGGAAAAAUACCUGUUAUUGAACAAAAAGUCAGGUACAAAAUUCCCCAAGGGCACACCUACCUCUGGUGUACUGCCAGCAACAUUACUGAUGUUAUAGUAAGGAUUUUAAUAUAUACUGGCUUAAUGUGAGCAGGUAUUAUUAAGGCACUAAACACACAUUAAAACAUGUCAGCUAUUGAAACAGCUGAGAGUUAGUUGAACUAAUGCAUAGCCUACUCUAAGUAUAUAAAAAUCUGCGUAUCUGUACACCAGAGUAUAAUAAAGCAGCAAGGAUUUUGCUAACUUUAUAACCAGAGACCUUGUAUAAGAAAUAAUUUUUCUAGAGCUUCUGGGUCUCAUGGAGCUAAAUAUAGCUCGGUAUAGUACAAGUAAAUGCAGUCAAACCAUCUCCAUUAUGUGGAGAUAAAAUAUACUGUAGAAAAGAGACUCUAGGAGGAAAGGAGAACUCAUUUUUGAUAAGUGGACACCCACAGAGGAUGUCAAAGGAUCCAUAUGGUCUCUCAAAUCAGUAUAUAGCACACAAGUGUUCAUUUUAUAUAUCCACAUGCUAAUCUGAGCAUCCUGAUGCAGAAUUUGGCUUUCUGACUAAAAUUACCACGCUGGCAAAUCAAGCCCCUGAGGGUAGGCCUACCUACAAAAUCUACUUAAGUAUUAUUUUAGGUUUGUUUUAACUUUUGCCUUAUGGAUUUCAUGGAAAGUUAUUUUCUGAUGCACAUGCUGAGCUGUGAUAUUGGGUUUUGUUGUUGUUAGGAAGGGAAUAGCAGGGAUGGCACCCGGGCAUAAGUGAAAAUAUUUGAGAGUCAAACACACCAAUGAAGUGUCCUUGAAAAGUUACACAGUUUAUGCAACCAUCUGGUUAAUUCUUUGACAGCAAUGUUCAAAGCAAGCAGCUUGUCAUACUGAUACAGCCCAUUACCUCUUCUGUUAUUACUACAUGUAAUAAAAACCUAUAUUUCUUUUACUUCUGUAUAAAAAGCUACUCCUUUCAGUGAAUGAAAUUUAAAAACUCUGUUGCCCAUUGACGAAUCUGGCGUAUACAACCGUGCUUAUAUUUUGUGUUACGGCAGGGUAUUUUAGCUGUAAGAUGUCAGCAUGCCAGUUCUGCUGUGAGUAAUACUAGUGUUAAUAAUCACACCCAUCACACAUUUCCACACAACUUCUUGAGAUAUUUGCUUUCCAAAACCAUUAUUGUAACAACGGUUCUCAUUUGUACAGUACAGAAUAUUGGAUAAGGCUAAAUGUCUAUUGAUGUUAACUCCAGAUUUUCAAAAUUCAAAAUAAUUGACGUACUUAUUUCUUAGCAGUACUUUCUUAUUUGGGGCCAAACUAUGAAAAAAAAUUACAGGGAUGGUUCUCAAUGAUAAAAGGAGGGCAUAAAUAAAGAAAUAAACAAUCUUGAAA